rnacentral:lncRNA from 1 species
GCAAGUGGCCAGAGGCCAACGUCACAGGACGGGCGCCAUGACGUCACCCUCCAGGCCGGGCGGGGCGGGACCCUGCUCCGUUCACGCCCUCUCUGACUCUUUCCGGACCAGCCACGCUUCUCCGUGAUUUGGGGUCCUUGGAGAUGUUGACCUUGAGUCCCCAAUUGAAAGUAUCCCUUCUAGCCCAGAGUAGUGACACUGGCCUGUAAUCCCAGCUCUUGGGAGGCUGAGGCAGAAGAAUCACAGCCCUAAUGCAUUCUGGGAUGAUCUUGUUUGUGUACGUGGGUGCUCCUUGUCAAACUUGCUACCAGAGUGUGAGCGCUAUCAGCACAGGCACUGCCGGACCCUCGUCCCCACCAAGGCAGUUUGGGAUGCAGCAGUCACUAAGGAACCGUGUCCAAUCCGGAGAGGCUCUAGCGCCAGGCUGAACUGGCUCCCACACCUCUGCCUGCUUGCUGUGUGCCUUGGGGCGGACCCUUAACCUCUGUGAAAAAAAAAAGAGAGAGAGAGCGAGCAGAUUGCUGCCAGGACUCAUUUAAUUUACAGCAAUCAAGAGUCACCCUAUUUUGUAAAUGGAAACAGCACUACUACUAAAAACAAGAUGCUAUAAACUGAAUGCUCUUUUGUUUUCAAAGACUAUCAAUAUACUAGAGCUAUGUGAAAAUAAAAAUAAAAGCGAGAUAUUUUGUGGCAAACUCUGGAGGUAAGGUGAGGACUAACCUUCACAGUCACGAUGGGUUUGGAGGGAGGGGAUGCUCUGUGUGCAUUUUAGAGAUGAGAAGAGAGGACACAGAAAUCAC